AUGGCGGGGGCCCAGAGUACCCGCUUGGCUAAUACAUCCAGUAUGCUGGUCGCAUACAUGGAUGGUAACCAGGUUUACGAUUCCAGAGGUGACAUUACAGUAGAUCAGUCGCCCCCUGCCAUAUCAGUUCUGGCAGGUCAAACUGUCAUUAUAAAGUGUAAAGCCUCCCAGGUUAUUGGUAACGAUAUGGAGCUGUAUCAGCUUAAACCUGGAUAUGCACGUAAGAUGUUAAUAUAUGAUGGAAAUACACUUGUCACUGGAACCCCAAGUCGGUUCAGUGGUACCUGGAGUGGAGCUGACCACACGUUCACCAUCAGCAAUGUACAGAGUGAAGACGAAGCAGAAUACCACUGUGGGCAGAGUGAUGCAUUCCCUUUCACACAGUGA